GCUCCCAUCGUCUAGCGGUUAGGACGCUGCCCUCUCAAGGCGGAAACCGGGGUUCAAGUCCCCGUGGGAGCGCCA
rnacentral:tRNA from 3 species